UUUAUAGCUCCUUACUUUCACACGACUUUAAAAUAUUGCUAAAAAAAAGAGAAUCUGGGAGACCUGAUGCCUUUCCUUUGCCCUAGAAUACCCUUUUGCUUUAAUAAACUCACUGGCCUGCUCUACCUCCCCUCCCUCACAGCUUCUGUUGAACGCUUCUAUUCAAAUGAAGAGCUGUGCUUGGUUGUGAGAUUACCACUGUUUGCAUCAUCCUAAACAAAGAGAGCGGGGAAAAGGGAGGAGAGGAGUGAUACCUUUUCUCUUUAGACCAACAGAACGGACAGCGAUGAGCAAACAGGAGACAGAGAUGACUAAUUAUCUUCUCCGAAAAAAACAACAACCUGGAAAGAGGGAGACAAAGGCAACAACUGGCCAACGGUUGCCAGUAUCAAAGCCCUCUUCACCUAAAAAAACAACAACCUGAAGGAAGGGAGACAAAGGCUAUAACUGGCCAACGGUUGCACAUAUCAAAGCCCUGCGCUUGCAGAAUCCCAAUGAGCCCAAUAGCUCAUUUAUCAACGAGGUGAUUUCAUAUGCAAGUAGUAGCCCUGCUUCCUGAUAGGUUGGACAAUUUUCUCCUCCGUCCCCAUCACAGCCACGCGCGCCUGCAGAAGGUGAGAUCACCAGCAACAGCAGCAGACAAAGCAGUGCACAAGUUGUUAUCCAAUGCCUCAGGAUAGCAGAUGCUUUUCAGUCCCUCUCUCUCUCACAGAGAAACAAACACAUUGGGUAAAUAUUGUCAGAGGAGCUUCAGUGCUGUGCAUGCACUACACCUCAGCAGCUGGUGCUGCAACAUGAGCUCAUUAACAAAGGAAGC